GUGGAUUAGAUACCCUGGUAGUCCACACUGUAAACGAUGAAUGCUAGGUGUAGGAGGUAUCGACCCCUUCUGUGCCGCAGUUAACACAAUAAGCAUUCCGCCUGGGGAGUACGGCCGCAAGGUUGAAACUCAAAGGAAUUGACGGGGGCCCGCACAAGCAGCGGAGCAUGUGGUUUAAUUCGACGCAACGCGAAGAACCUUACCAGGUCUUGACAUCCAGUAAAACUUGUAGAGAUACAUCGUGUCUUCGGACAUACUGAGACAGGUGGUGCACGGUUGUCGACAGCU
rnacentral:rRNA from 1 species